CAGUCGCCGCGGUAAUACAGAGGAUGCAAGCGUUAUCCGGAAUGAUUGGGCGUAAAGCGUCUGUAGGUGGCUUUUCAAGUCCGCCGUCAAAUCCCAGGGCUCAACCCUGGACAGGCGGUGGAAACUACCAAGCUGGAGUACGGUAGGGGCAGAGGGAAUUUCCGGUGGAGCGGUAAAAUGCGUUGAGAUCGGAAGGAACACCAACGGCGAAAGCACUCUGCUGGGCCGACACUGACACUGAGAGACGAAAGCUAGGGGAGCAAAUGGGAUUAGAUACCCCCGUAGUCCCUGUCUCUUAUAA
rnacentral:rRNA from 1 species